rfam:Jeotgalibacillus malaysiensis strain D5, complete genome.
GGGGACGUUACGGAUUCGACAGGAAUGGUUCGAGCUUGAGUUGCGAGUCGGAGGGAUCGUCUCCGUCAUCAACGUCAACAAAAAUAGUUAACAACAAACAAGAUUACGCUCUAGCUGCCUAAUAAGCACUUGAGGCCUCACUUGUCUAUCGCCCAUGUAGACCUGCCUGAGGUUCACUUAUAGUGGGAUACGCAGUCUGCUGCCACCUGAAGCAGCCUGAAGAGACUAAUCAGGAUAGCCGUUCGGACGCCUGUCAGUUGGCAUAAGUUACGGUGAAAUGCGAAUAGGCUGACUACGCUCGUAGAAGCUUAAGUAUUGAAGUUUCUGGACGUGGGUUCGACUCCCACCGUCUCCACCA